UCUCUCCAUACUGGAGUAGAGAAAUACUUUGUCUAUAUCCCUUUGCUGCUGAGGCCUACUGGUGGCUGAGAUCAUUUACAUGGUGAAUACCUUCACAGAAAGCUUUCUAGAAACACUAUUCAGGGCACCAGAAUCACUCCCUCCCAACUGUUGAUGAAUCCUGAGCACAAAAAGACCUGCCAUCACAAGUCACAAGAAUUCUACUAGCAGAGUAAAUCAUAUGGGAAAAUAUAUCAUAUUUCACUCUUAAACAGGGAGUAACCAACUGAUUAGAUCCAGCUGAAGAGAAAAUUUGUAUAUUGCAAGAUAGAGAUAAAGAAAUAACACAAAAUUAUCAGCAUGUUAAGGACAUGGGAAAAUAUAAGAGAUAUGGAGAAAAGGUGAAAAGGGUGGCAUAUACAUAAUUGGAAUUCCAUAAAGAUCGAAAAGAGAGAAUGUUGAAAAGGCAAUAUUCACAAAGAUGAUGAGCUUUCUAGAACUGAUGAAGGAAUCUUGAGGAUGGAUGAAGAAUCCUCAUGCAUCUUCAAUCCUCAUGAAAUCUGCAGAUUUAUGAAGCUUAGAAAAUCCCAAAUAGGAUUAAAAACACAAAAAUGGAAACCUAUACUUAGACACAUUGCAAUAAAAUUGCAGUUCACCAAAGACUAAGGAAAAAAGAGCCAGAGAGGAAAGAUGGACUACCUAUGAAGGAUGGAAUUUAGACGGACAAAAGACUUCUCAACAGCGAUAACAGACAGCAGAAGAUUAAAAGUUCCAAAUUGCUAAGAAAAUAUAUGUCAUCCUAUAAUUAUAUACUCAACAGAACUAAAUUUCAAGGACCAGAGCAAGAAUUAGGACAUUUUCAGGUAAACUACCACUCAGAACAUUUACAUCCAAAAUCCCCACUAAAGAAACUUCUAAAGGAUAUAACUGAAGUAGGAAAAGGACACUAGGGUAAUGUCUGCGAUGCAGGAAGAUUGAAUCAGCCCCCGCGGAUGGGACUCUGAUGCACACACAACACGUCCAACACCAGGCUCAUGUGUCUUGGGAAGAACACCUGAACCAUGAAAACAUCCUCCCCUUAAGACCAGGACCGAGAAAGUCGGGUAAUGGGCAGCAUGUGCCUCUUCCUCCUUUGUCCGUGUUACUCAAUAGAUAGUCAUCAUUUUCUUUAAAAAUGGUAUGACAGAUUAAAUGAAAAAAUGAUUUUUAGAAAG
rnacentral:lncRNA from 1 species